GUAAAAAGCUGCGACUUUGCUCCUGCAGCAGCCUGGCUCGUGAUGCUCUGCACAUCCCCCCACAGCCACAUUGCUCAGGUGCUGAGGCGAGGAGCCUUCCUCCCACUUGGACCAUGCAUGGUUCAGGCUGGGCUGCUCUUCAGCCACCAAAGCAGGGUUCCUUCAGUCCUGGACCUCUGCAGAGGGUCAAGCAAGUGAUCUCAGUGAAGAUGAAUGGCGUGGGUUCAUUGAUUGGUUGUUGUUACUCAUUUCUGUUGUGAAUCAGCAUCUCUGGUACAGUGUAACAUAAAUGUUCUGUGCCUCUCCAGCAGGGGCUGAGAAGAGGAUGAGAAACACCCAGAAAGCUGACUUAUGUUGUGCAUUCUGCUCUCCGCUUCUAAGAUAAGUGCUCUGCUCUGGGAAUUUGCUCACUGCUGAAAUCACCUGCUGAAAAGGGGUUUUGCUGUAAACCUUGAGCGCUUCCCCACUGAGCUGAGGCAAAUUUCCUGGCGCUGGUCCCGAUGGCCUCGCUGCAAAUCGGGCCUGGUCUGUGUGAGCGUGGGCGACUGCAGUCAGACUGCUAGCUGGGUUAUUUUUCGUAUGGAAGGAAUACAAUAAUACAAAUACAGUAAUAAACAUAAUAACAAAACCCCGCCCACAUGGUGGUGCUCCUGGGAAGCGCUCUGUGAAGAAGUGCAGGCCAGCGAGGGCUGGGCAUCCCAAAGAGUUUUAGGGGAAAGGUUGUGAGGCUGACACUGAUUUGGGCAGCAGGGUUUGGGGCUUCUCUGCCUUCUGUAGCGUGGGGCAGCCACUGCUGAUGGCAGAGAGGUGCAAUGUGUCCUUGAAGCCUCAGAGUGCUGCAGCCUGGCCAGGACAAACACUAGGCCAGGAGUAGCCAUGAUGGAAUCAUACAUCCAUAAAUGUUGUUGUAUUGUUUGAACUUGUGAGCAGUGUAAAUGUUUCUCUAACAAAAAAUCUGCAGGAGGUUUGGCAGCAAAUACUUGUUUUCAUUGUUUGCUGUUAGGUGACACCAGUAAGGUAUGCAGGCUGCAAAGAGGAAAGAUAAACUUGUCAAUGGGGCAUGCAGUCCCUUGGAAAGUCCCUUCUGAAUGUCGUGGAUGGGAGGUGGAGAGCUGAAGUGGUUUCCUACCAAGCUGAAUGUGAUUUUGUGCUAUGCUGUGUUGUAAGGCAACAGCCAUGGAACAUGGAAGAUGUCUGCUUUAAGAGGGCCAUGCUUUGGCAAGACAGAGGUGGCUAAGGAGAUCAAGCUAUGGUCAGUUCUGUGUCACACCAGUGCUGAUUUGGAGGUACAGUGCUGACUGACAAGUGUCCUUAACAAAACUCAUGCCCUGCAUGCUCUGUGCUGGGUGCUCUGUGAGUUAAUAAUGAAUUGUGUCUGGAGUGGGGAACUGAGAUUCAUUUGGACUCCUGAAGCACCUGGAGUUCUCCAGGGGAGCAUUUGUCCAUGGUGCACUGGCUUGGUUGUCAAAACUGGCUUGAGAAACACCUUCCUCACUCCAUCACUUUCUUCUGAGCUUUGAUUUAUGCCAAGACAGCUGUCAGUGGUGCUUUGUUGUAACUGUAUUGCCGAAGUGAGUUGGGGUAAAAAUUCCUUUAAACAGUAAUUUUUUGGGGGUGUUAUUUUUAGCAUUAGGCCUUUGUGCACAUUUAAUGCUCAGGUUUUAUUCUAACAGCAGAGUCAAAACUAGCAUAUUAAAUAAGCAUUUAUUCAAAUGUUUUUUCAGAUUUGAAACUACAUUUAAUUGUAUGAACAGCACUGGAAUAAAGAAUUUGUUAUCACAGUAUGAUCUUUUUCUAACCUUCCUAAUUUGAAGGCUGACCCAAAAGAGCAGGAGGAGAGCAGGGCUCUUUGAUUUUCCCAUUCCUAGUGAGAUGUUUUCCAUAUACAUUUCUGCACUUCCAGGAGAAACUUCCUCCAGUUUUGUGCUUCUGUUGGCUUCUGUAAACUGUGGAUCAGUGCCUCCAGUAAAUGGGAUAUGCCAGCAAGGUGGAUGGACAUACAUUUUCAGGAAGGAAGAUGAAAGACACAUCUGGAAACUGUGAGUUUCAUAGAAUCAUAGAAUCAUAGAAUCACAAGGUUGGAAAAGACCUAUAAGAUCAUCCAGUCCAACCACCUUCUCAUUACCACUGCUACCACAAGCUACUAAAUCAUAUCUUGCAGCCCCAAUGCUUUUGCAAUACUGAAUGUUUUAAAGGUAAACUUAUUUCUUUCAGGUAUGACAUAGUUGGCAUGCAGUAGAUGCCUUGCCUGGUGUUUGUCAUUCCUGGGGUGUGUGUUGAUGUGUUUUUGUCUCAUGCAACUAGUGUAGGUUGCAGGAGGAUCUCAUGCAUGAUGCAACUGAUGUGCUUCACAUCCCUGUUUUUCUCUACUGGCCAUGUGGGCUGUGCAAAAGAUUGCUCCCUGAUGGAAGAAUAACUUUGGGAUAUCCAUAUGGGUAUCCUGCAGCCAUUUAGCACAAGGAGAGAUGACUUUCGUCAAGAGAGGUAGCCAAACUAGUCAAGGAGGUACUGUGUCACCCUGGUGAUUCAAGGGGAAGAAGAAUAAUCUUGACCUUCUGUAGAAGUUUAAAUGAAAACUUAAAGGUACCAGCCAUUUCUACAGGAUGGAAAGGCUGCUAUUUAAUGAAGGGAUGACACAAAUCCUUUUGCUAACCACUGCACAAGAUUCUCUGUCUUGUUAUCUUCAUGGAAUAUUAAAGCAAUUUAAUACAUUGAAACAAUAUUGCAAAGCUUAUGGUUGUAAAAUCUUCGAAUCUAAUUAUGCCCUACCUAUCUUUCUUCUGCCGAAGUCUAAAGUUGCUCAUAGCUCAACAGCUCUAGUUCCUAGCCACCAAUCUUCUCCUACCAUCAAUGGAGAUAAAUGCAUGUCAUCUCACAGCACUUUAUUCUAUUCUUAGGGGGUACCUAUCAAGUGUCCUAUUUGACCAGACACCUUCAUUACCAAUGUUGGUUUCAGGUGAGGUGAAGCCAUUCUGUUCCAUGGCUGUCUUUUUACCUCGACUAUAGCUAAUCAGAAGAGGAUCAAACAGAUCUUUUAAAAUGCCCACACAGAAAUUACUCAGUAAAGUGAAACAUUUUGUAGCACUUUCUUGCCUUUUUCUGUCCUAAAGCAAUUACUAUCAUCUCUUAAUUGAGUUGUCACAGAUUCCAAGGUGUGUUGGUAACAGCUUUACAGGUUGUCAUUUGUGCACUAAUCAUGUCUCAAUAACUUUCUCAGCUGUCUGGACUGAAGAGUUUGCUUGUUUAAAAUGUUUUGGAGUCCAUCCACUUUGGCUUUUCUCUAGAUUUUUCAUGGCAUUGAAAAAUGCAGUUGGACAUUUAUCCUAUUCAUUGGAGUCCUCAAUUUUAUUUCCAACUGGAAUCACACACCAGAAUUUGUGGGGCAGUUAACUUGGCUGAGGAAAGUGAUAUGUAAUUGGUCCUUUGAACUUAGUAUCUACUUAAUAGGUAAGUUCCAUUUGAUCACAGUUUCGAAAUCUCUAUUCUUUUGGGUUACUUUUUUCUUUUAGGAACUCCACAUUUUACUUAAACGGUUAUUUACAAUAUUUAUUAUGCACAUGAGACUUAUUCUGCCAGUCUCAAAGUGCUUCUCAAAAAGCAAGCAGAUAUGAUUCAAUAGAACAGUAGACAGUGACUUGAUCCUGAUGCCAGAAAUCAGUGAAUUAUGUUGGACAUCUGCCACAUGGAUGGUUGUCAUCCAGUCUGCAAGGGUCACCACAAAUGCCUUUCAGAAUUCUGUGUUUCUUGGAGGAUUGUCCAACUGGCUAGGAAGAGUAGUUGUAUUUAGGGUGAUUUCAGACUGGUUGAUAAGGAUUGGGCUGGAAACUUCCCAGUGGGUCCUUAUUUCCAUUAUGUCUCUCAUCUGACUGGAUCUUCUCAGAGGUUUUUAGGAUGCUCUGGAGCAGAGACCUGAUGGUGUUUCAUGAAUCAGCACCAGGAGAAAGAGGCCAUCCUUGUCUGCAGGCCACAAAGACCAGCAGGAUAUGAAACAACUUCCACUAUCUUUCCUCCAAGCCACUAUAUCAGAAAUAUUAACGAAGGAAUGAAACCUCAAUGAGAAGCUGCUGGGCGUACUGCAGGUCCCACUCCCUUGUGAACAUGCUGAAUCUCUAUCACUUUCCCUAAUCAAGUGGUGACAGCAGGUCCAGGAAGAGCAGGCUGAUCCAAACUAGUGCAGAAGAAGAGGUUUCCAGUGGGACAACUUUUGUGACUGAGCAAAGAGAGGCAUCAUACUGCUGACAGACAUCAGCUGCAUUUAAUUGAUGACGAGAUAAAGAGUUUCCAAGUGUGCUCUUAGAGCUAUUGGAACCAACAUGUGACAGCCAGAGGAAAAAGAGGAGUGGACAAUGGACUUGGAGAUGUCAAGGCAGCCAUAUACAGUGAGGAGG